GGGGUUGUAGCUCAGUGGUAGAGUGCUCACCUAGCAUGUGAGAGGCCCUGGGCUGGAUCCUCAGCACCA
rnacentral:tRNA from 1 species